GACGUAGGUGGCGAACGUUAUCCGGAAUUAUUGGGCGUAAAGGGUGCGUAGAUGGUAUGAUAAGUUAUUGGUGGUAAAUCGGGGCUCAACCUCGUGGAAGCUAGUAAUACUGUUAUACUUGAGUACAGGAGAGGUUAAUGGAAUUCCCUGUGGAGCGGUAAAAUGCGUUAGAUAUAGGGAGGAACACCAAUAACGGCGAAGGCAAUUAACUAUCCUGCUACUGACAUUGAGGCACGAAAGCGUGGGGAGCAAACAGG
rnacentral:rRNA from 1 species